AAAAGUAAAAGAAAAGGCAGAGAGAGAAGACAGAGACAAAAGGGGGAGUGAUUUGACCCUUACUGUUCAUCGUCUUCCCAAAUUCGCUGCCCCACCUCUGCAAUUAACCGGCCGGCUCUUCUUCAACGGCUGCUCUCGCCUCACUGUUCGACCCCAGCAACGGAGCUACACCUCACCGGCGACCCAGCGUCGAUCCGUCGCCCUGCCGGCCUCGCCGCGCCUACACCGCCCAGCGUCCACCACCGCCGCUAACGCCAACCGUCCGCGACAGCAGAUCCCGCGGGUACCACCACUCCGAGCACCACUUUGUUCCGCGUCUGCCCCUGCUGCUUCCGCCGGCCAUCGUCACUCCGCCAGCAAUCCGCGUCAGACGCUGCCACUCGUUCCCCUGCGACGACCUACCGCCUCAGCUACUGCCACUCAGCCGCGCCGGAACGCCGACCCAUGCCAUCGCCGUUCCUGUGCCUGCGUGAUCUGCCUCCGUCGCAUCUCCGUGCCGAUUUUCCACCGCGUGGUCGCUGAGCUUCCCUCUGCCGGCCGCGCGUUCGCCACCACAGUGACCCGUGACGCCAGAGCCGUACGCCGCACCUCCGUCUCUGUUCCGUCACUGGUUCUCUCUCGCCGCUCCCCCUGCGACGCUGCUGCUGCUGCCGGUCCACUCUCGCCAAGGCUCCGAACGUCGGCGACCAACUGCCCCUGCCGGACCUCCGACCAGCUGCUCUUGGUUGAGUACGCACGAGCUGCCGAGACC
rnacentral:lncRNA from 1 species